rnacentral:sRNA from 1 species
AAAAUAUAUAUUAUGCCGUAGACAGUAGGUGCUAAUUGCUCAAUAUCCUACCGAGGAAUCAUUAAAGACCCUUUAACUCUACGCAUAAUAUGUGUAGAGUUUUUAUAUUA